UCUUUCCUGUUCAGGAGAAGUCGUACUCCGUCCCCUGUGAGGGAAAAAAGGCUCCAAGAAGAAAAGAAUAGUGAAAAGAAAAGCAAGUCACCUCCAGGUUACAAAGCAAAAGCUGAUGACAGACCAAGGGUUUCUAAAUCUGGGAGAAUUCUAUGAGGCCGAGGAAAUAUGGUAUU